CCAACGGAUUGCCUAGUACGGCGAGUGAAGCGGCAACAGCUCAAAUUUGAAAGCUGGCCUCCGGGUCCGCAUUGUAAUUUGUAGAGGAUGCUUUGGGGCAGCCGCCUGUCUAAGUUCCUUGGAACAGGACGUCAUAGAGGGUGAGAAUCCCGUAUGUGACAGGACAUGGCACCCUAUGUAAAGCUCCUUCGACGAGUCGAGUUGUUUGGGAAUGCAGCUCUAAAUGGGAGGUAAAUUUCUUCUAAAGCUAAAUACCGGCGAGAGACCGAUAGCGCACAAGUAGAGUGAUCGAAAGAUGAAAAGCACUUUGGAAAGAGAGUUAAAAAGCACGUGAAAUUGUUGAAAGGGAAGCGCUUGCAAUCAGACUUGUUUUGACUGUUCGGCCGGUCUUCUGACCGGUUUACUCAGUCUGGACAGGCCAGCAUCAGUUUUGGCGGCCGGAUAAAGGCCUAGGGAAUGUGGCUCUCGCUUCGGCGGGAGUGUUAUAGCCCUGGGUGUAAUACGGCCAGCCGGGACUGAGGUCCGCGCUUCGGCUAGGAUGCUGGCGUAAUGGUUGUAAGCGACCCGUCUUGACCACACGGGACCA
rnacentral:rRNA from 1 species